AUGAAUCUUUAUUUAUUAUUUAAUUGUACUUUCAUUGGUAGGAAACUGUAACAGUUAUAUGAAAUCUAGCCUACCUGGUGGUAGGUUGUUCUAUACAUCUAGUUUAUAAAUAAGCAAUAACUGGAGGUACCAAGAUGAAUUUAAAGGAUAAUGUGUAGUCUAUUUAUUCAUGCAUUGGCCAUUAAUUUGUUCUGUGAUAAAAGUUUAUCGACUAUAAUCAUUUUCACACAAUGAUUAAAUGGACAAUCAUUUUCAUAGCAAAAUAUGUUAGUUUUUUUACUGAAGAUUUUUUUAAUGUUAUUUAGAUUUUAAUGUUGUGUUUUUAUAUACCUUUUGCAUUUAGUUGAUCAAAAAUGUAUGCUUUGACUGUUCUAAUCUACACUUGUCAUGUUUUAAUAGGUGUAAUGAAAUAAGAUUAAACCAAUUUCUCUUGACUUUUCCCAUUUUUAAAGGCAUAAAAAAGAGACAACAUUUAGUGAUGCACAGAUAGAUAACAUGUUUGUAGUCACUAGGGGACACCUAAAUAUUGUCUUACAGCCUUUUGCAUUGAGUGUGUAGGUAAAGGUAAUAUCUUUGGUUAGGUAAACUAUCCUCCUUGAAGAGUAGACUUGUCCAACAGAUAACCAAUUUAUCUCUCUGUAGCUAUAUAUAGGCUACUUCAAAAAGAGGGUACUAUACCUAACAUAAUAAUGACUUCACGGUUCAGCUAGCAAGCAAGCUAAGCAAAGAUAUUACCUUUAUGUACACACUCAAUGCAAUGGGCUGUAAAUUAAUAAGAAAAUAGGUUACUAUGGUUUAAACUUGCAAUCAGAUUAUAGUUAAAAUAAAUGAUGUUCAAGGAUUUAGGAUUCUAGAAUUUUUUUCUGAGUAAUAUAUUUUUAUUAACCUUUAGAGGCCUAUGUGGCAGAGUGGUCUAUAAGUUAAACAAAUGCAUCACUAGCCUGUCUAAACUGAGGAAUUGAGUUCAAUUCCAGCAUGUGGCAAGUGCACUUGACUCCACUUUAAUUCAUAAGAAUUGUCAGUUUUCUUGGGGCACCUAGGCUUCCUCCACCAAAAAAAAAUUCCUGGCAUGAAAUAACACCAUAGUUUUGAAAGCAGCGUUAAACACCAAACAAUUAAUCGAGUUUACUCUUUAAAAUUUCAACCAUAGUUUCUGAAGGAAAGUAUAAUCUUCUGAGAGCAUAAAAUUCAAUUCAAUUUAAACUACUGCAAAAAGUGAUUGACAACCAUAAAUCCCUUAAACCCAGCAAAAAUACAUUAAUUUAUUCAAUUAUUUCAUUAAGUCUUAUUUAAAGACAUGAUAUUGGUGUCCCUUUUCUGACAAAAACUUGGGUUAAUCUGCUAUCUCAUUUUAAAGCUGUAACACCCCUGCUAUAAAUUCUAUAUAGAAAACUGAUUUAUUCCUCUGCAUAUAUAUCCAUUCUAGUUGCAUUUAUGAGUCUUGGUGGAAUUUUUUUUAGUAAAGAGAAAAAUAUGACAAUAAAUAAAGAAUAAACAGAAAAAUAAGGUUCUACAUGUAUAAAGAAUUGAGAAACAAAUGGCAUAUACUAAAAUGAAUAUCCCUAUCCAGACCCUCUUAUUUAUUGUUCUUAUUUUUUCAAAAGUUGAUAUAACAUUUAGAGCAAGAUAUGGUUUAUAUACUUCAAUUUUAAUGAAGUGCAGAUGUGAUUUUGAUAUCUGUUUUAGUAGGCUUUUAUAUUUUGUUAAGCA
rnacentral:lncRNA from 1 species